ensembl:lncRNA
AUGAUGCGGAAUCCCCUCAGCGCCCGUAAGACCCCCCCGGAGCCGUUCCCGUGCCCAGCAGCAGGCACGAACCCCCUGACGAGACGUGGUCGCUACCCGGCGGUUCCCGCCCGCACCAAGCCCGUCCCAGCCCGACCACACACCAACCGGGACACCCAAGUCGGCCGGGAGACACGGCUCAAAUCCCCACAGGGCGUGGGACAUUCCCCCAAACAGCCGGGACUCCUGAACGGGCCAGGCCUUCCAGGGCCUCAAGCCCCGGGCCUUCCUGGCAAGCACGCGGCCGCCGGGCCUCAUCAAAGCCCUCCGUCACCGUCGGGGCCAGGACACCGCCACCGCUGCCCAAGCCCAGGCCUCCCGUCUCCGCUCGCCAUCCAGCCGCCCGCCGCAGGACCCGGACACCCGCCCCGAGCAGCCUCCCAGGCACUGCCAGCUGAGAGACGUCCCUGGCCGCCGACCUCCCCGCUCUGCCCAGGCCCCCGCGCGGCGACCUGGGCGAAGCGCUCCACGCGGCGCGGGUGGCUCGCUCUGCCGGGCAGACCACCCCCUCCAGGGCGUCCAAGGGCUCGGCAUCGCACCCUCCAGGGAGAGGGAGACCGUGCACCGGGAAGGACUCCGACCCGUGGCCUCCCAAAGGACCCCCCCCAAGGUGCGGCCAGGGCACCUCCUCCAGAGCCCCUCGCCCAUCCAGACGUGGGCCUGUCCACCCACGUCCCCGGCAGGCUCCCUCUGCCCGCCUGUCGCUCACCACUUCAGCUGCCCCCUUCUCGCCACCCAGCCCCAGCCUCCGCCCCAACAUCCCUGGACGUCCCAGGGGAGCGCCCUCAGGGGUUCCCAGGCUGCCCCCCUCCCAUGGGGGACGGCCCUGAUCCAAGGGCCCCCGCUACCACAGACCCCCUGCAGCAGGUGGCCCUCAGGGGUCCCCAGAGCAGAAAGAGAACACUACCCUGCCGGGAUCCCGUCUCCCCACAGCAUCCUGAGAAGGGCGCCCGGCCUGGGCCAGGACGCCCCCUGGGGCCCUAGGGCCGCACACUUGCCUCGCGUGCCGGGCCCAAAUUUCGGCCCCCGCGACGGCUUGCGAAACCCCCCAAGGCCGGCGGGAGGCCGCCCGGGAUCUCCAGCACGCUCGGGCACGCGGCAUCUCCCCCGAGGCCAGCGCCGGGCGACGGGCCCCAUGCUUCCUGGGCCCGGCAGGCGGCCGCCUUCCCCAGACCUCACCCGAGUGGCUGCUGACACCCAGAGGCCCCAAGGCCAAGGGCCCAUCUACCCCCGAGCCCCCGGUGGCCGCCACGUGCCGGACCUCAGUUUCGAUGAGGAGACGGUAGUGAGUUCUCACUCAUUUUGUUCAGAUUUCCAAGGAAUGCUUUAGAGGGAGUCAUCAUCGAUCCGAGCACGGGCUCCGCCGCCGCAAGGCAAAUUCACGGCCUCCGCACCUGGACAUCCCACCCGCUCCAUCACGGCAGCGUUUGGGGGCGUGCCCAGACAGACGAGCCACUGGGCAGGACGGGACGCUCCCCCUCACGCCCCCGGAGCUGGCCUGCCGGGGCCAAAGCCCGCGAGAAGCGGGGGUGGCCCGGGGCUCCGGACAGACGAGCGCCCCAAGGGCGAGUUCUCCACCACUGAGGACAGGGGCCGCUCACCAUCGCCAGGUCUCCACAGAGCCGCGACAAGGACGCCACGCCCACUGGUCUGCGGGAGCUCCUCGGCCUCGCGCGGUGGCACGCCACAAGAUCAGGGGUCCGCCAUGCUGCUCUCCUGGGUCAGGGCGAGAGAGCACACACACCACAAGGGUUUCCACAAGGAGGAAGGGCCACGCUGGCGCCAGGGGACCAGGGCCCCUCCACCUGGAGACCCGCACUGCAUCGGGCUGCCACGGCUCCCCAGCCUCCCCAGCCUCCCCUCUCUCUGGGUGUCUGCAGCCACACGGACCCUGCCUGGGGGGGGGUGCAGGCCCGGCCUGCACAGAGGCGUGCCAGGGGCACAGAGAGAGGCCCCGGCAUUCUUCUCCCACGUCCCAGGGCCC